GAUGUUAAGUAGGCACUUGCAGGCAAAGUUUCGUCUCAACAGUUUGACUGCUUUUUCCUACUUUACAUU
rfam:Aedes albopictus isolate Foshan contig68414, whole genome shotgun sequence.